rnacentral:rRNA from 1 species
GAUGAACGCUGGCGGCGUGCCUAAUACAUGCAAGUCGAGCGAACAGACGAGGAGCUUGCUCCUCUGACGUUAGCGGCGGACGGGUGAGUAACACGUGGAUAACCUACCUAUAAGACUGGGAUAACUUCGGGAAACCGGAGCUAAUACCGGAUAAUAUAUUGAACCGCAUGGUUCAAUAGUGAAAGACGGUUUUGCUGUCACUUAUAGAUGGAUCCGCGCCGCAUUAGCUAGUUGGGAAGGUAACGGCUUACCAAGGCAACGAUGCGUAGCCGACCUGAGAGGCUGAUCGGCCACACUGGAAGUGAGACAGGGACAAGACUCCUACGAGACGCAGCAGUAGGGAAUGUUCCGCAAUGGGCGAAAGCCUGACGGAACGACGCCGAGUGAGUGACGAAGAUCUUCGGAGCGUAAAAAUCUGUUAUUGGGGAAGAACAAAUGUGUAAGUAACAAUGCACGUCUUGACGGUACCUAGUCAGAAAGCCACGGCUAACUACGUG